GGUUAAGUCAGGCAACGAGCGAGACCCGUGCUUUUAGUUGCCAGCAAGAAGUCACGACUUCGUUGGGAACACUAAAAGGACCGCCAUCGAUAAGAUGGAGGAAGGAGCGGGCCAAGGCAGGUCAGUAUGCCCCGAAACCCCUGGGCCACACGCGGGCUGCAAUGGUAUGAACAAUGGGCUGUAACUCCGAAAGGAGAAACCAAUCCCGAAAUCAUAUCUCAGUUGGGAUUGUUGGCUGUAACUCGCUGACAUGAACGUGGAAUCCCUAGUAAUCGUGUGUCAUCAUCGCACGGUGAAUACGUCCCUGCUCCUUGCACAAA
rnacentral:rRNA from 1 species